GGUCGCCAGCGGCAACGGGCAUAGGCAUUACAACUGGUAUCAUAGGUCUUUCGGUCCCUGGAGGCGAUUUUUUGGGCAGCGGCGUAUCCUUCGGUUACAGAGUGAGUGUCACCGGAGGUUGCUCGCGAUUCUCCCCGUGAGUGUUUAUCAAGGGUUUGAAAGCGGAAAUUAGAGGAAUGGUGGAGUCCCAACUUCCAGAAACAGUCUCUAGAGCCGUCGUUCUUGCCAAGGUACAACAAGAUCUUAGUUCCCGAAACAAACCAUGGGCAGCCCGACAGCAGGGUUGGGGUAAACAAGAUGUUGUCGGCAUCAAACCAGCUGCACACACCUCCAAACAAUUACCUAGUGAUCUUUGGAAGGACCGACAACUUUGUGAUUAUAGGCGUGCUAAUGGCUUAUGAUUGUGGUGAUAAAAUAUGAUCCUACACAUGUUUGUGGCAAGAAGCCUGCUGCUGAAUUGCAUGUCAUGGAGACUGACGAUACAACACCUCUUAUUUUUGAUGAAAUCUUAAACAUGUUUGAACAA